GACGAACGCUUGCGGCGUGCUUAACACAUGCAAGUCGAACGGAAAGGCCCUGCUUUUGUGGGGUGCUCGAGUGGCGAACGGGUGAGUAACACGUGAGUAACCUGCCCUUGACUUUGGGAUAACUUCAGGAAACUGGGGCUAAUACCGGAUAGGAGCUCCUGCUGCAUGGUGGGGGUUGGAAAGUUUCGGCGGUUGGGGAUGGACUCGCGGCUUAUCAGCUUGUUGGUGGGGUAGUGGCUUACCAAGGCUUUGACGGGUAGCCGGCCUGAGAGGGUGACCGGCCACAUUGGGACUGAGAUACGGCCCAGACUCCUACGGGAGGCAGCAGUGGGGAAUAUUGCACAAUGGGCGGAAGCCUGAUGCAGCAACGCCGCGUGCGGGAUGACGGCCUUCGGGUUGUAAACCGCUUUCGCCUGUGACGAAGCGUGAGUGACGGUAAUGGGUAAAGAAGCACCGGCUAACUACGUGCCAGCAGCCGCGGUGAUACGUAGGGUGCGAGCGUUGUCCGGAUUUAUUGGGCGUAAAGGGCUCGUAGGUGGUUGAUCGCGUCGGAAGUGUAAUCUUGGGGCUUAACCCUGAGCGUGCUUUCGAUACGGGUUGACUUGAGGAAGGUAGGGGAGAAUGGAAUUCCUGGUGGAGCGGUGGAAUGCGCAGAUAUCAGGAGGAACACCAGUGGCGAAGGCGGUUCUCUGGGCCUUUCCUGACGCUGAGGAGCGAAGGCGUGGGGAGCGAACAGGCUUAGAUACCCUGGUAGUCCACGCUGUAAACGGUGGGUACUAGGUGUGGGGUCCAUUCCACGGGUUCCGUGCCGUAGCUAACGCUUUAAGUACCCCGCCUGGGGAGUACGGCCGCAAGGCUAAAACUCAAAGGAAUUGACGGGGCCCCGCACAAGCGGCGGAGCAUGCGGAUUAAUUCGAUGCAACGCGUAGAACCUUACCUGGGUUUGACAUGGAUCGGGAGUGCUCAGAGAUGGGUGUGCCUCUUUUGGGGUCGGUUCACAGGUGGUGCAUGGCUGUCGUCAGCUCGUGUCGUGAGAUGUUGGGUUAAGUCCCGCAACGAGCGCAACCCUUGUUCACUGUUGCCAGCACGUUAUGGUGGGGACUCAGUGGAGACCGCCGGGGUCAACUCGGAGGAAGGUGGGGAUGACGUCAAAUCAUCAUGCCCCUUAUGUCCAGGGCUUCACGCAUGCUACAAUGGCUGGUACAGAGAGUGGCGAGCCUGUGAGGGUGAGCGAAUCUCGGAAAGCCGGUCUCAGUUCGGAUUGGGGUCUGCAACUCGACCUCAUGAAGUCGGAGUCGCUAGUAAUCGCAGAUCAGCAACGCUGCGGUGAAUACGUUCCCGGG
rnacentral:rRNA from 1 species